UGCCAGCCGCCGCGGUAACACGAACCGUCCAAACGUUAUUCGGUAUCACUGGGCUUAAAGAGUUCGUAGGCGGCCAAGCAGGUCAGGUGUGAAAUCCCACAGCUCAACUGUGGAACUGCGCUUGAAACCGCAUGGCUUGAGGGAGAUAGAGGUGAGCGGAACAGAUGGUGGAGCGGUGAAAUGCGUUGAUAUCAUCUGGAACACCGGUGGCGAAAGCGGCUCACUGGAUCUCUUCUGACGCUGAGGAACGAAAGCUUGGGUAGCGAACGGGAUUAGAUA
rnacentral:rRNA from 1 species